GAGCGUUGUCCGGAUUUACUGGGCGUAAAGGGUGAGUAGGCGGUAAUAUGUGUCAGAUGUAAAAGGCUAUGGCUUAACCAUAGUUAGCAUUUGAAACUGUAUUACUUGAGUGCAGGAGAGGUAAGUGGAAUUCCUAGUGUAGCGGUGAAAUGCGUAGAUAUUAGGAGGAACACCAGUGGCGAAGGCGACUUACUGGACUGUAACUGACGCUGAGUCAACGAAAGCGUGGGGAGC
rnacentral:rRNA from 1 species